AAGACCUUACUCUUAGGGAUCAUUUCUAUAGUAAGUGUCGCCAGGACGUCAGGUAAAACUGACGGGACCUAAAGCCACGAGGACGAGAAAUAGCACUCCUUUCUGAGCGCGAAGCGGGCACGGACUGUCACCCUCUGGGAGACUUGGUCAGUGUCAUUGAUGAACGUUCCUCUCCUCCCUAAGCGGGGAGUUGGAGGAAGGGAGUGCAUUCUGAGUGGU
rnacentral:snoRNA from 1 species